rnacentral:misc_RNA from 1 species
GAUGAGGAACGUAGUGAAAUGCGAUACGUAAUGUGAAUUGCAGAAUUCAGUGAAUCAUCGAAUCUUUGAACGCAUAUUGCGCUCUCUGGUAUUCCGGAGAGCAUGCUUGUUUGAGCAUCAGUAAACACCUCAACUUCCAUAUCUUUUUUUGAAAUGGGAGUUGGACUUGAGUGAUCCCAACGCUUUUCCUCACCGAAAAGUGGCGGGUUACUUGAAAUGCAGGUGCAGCUGGACUUUUCUCUGAGCUAUAAGCAUAUCUAUUUAGUCUGCCUAAAAAACAGAUUAUUACCUUUGCUGCAGCUAACAUAAAGGAGAUUAGUUCUUGUGCUGACUGAUGCAGGAUUCACAAAGACAGCUUCGGCCGACUUUGUAAACUCGAUCUCAAAUCAAGUAAGACUACCCGCUGAACUUAAGCAUAUCAAUAAGCGGAGGA